AGACCAUGAUGAGGUCACUGUAAGAGGAGGUCAUUAAAACGUUCCAUACAUCAAGAGAAUGAUUCGUUGGGUCUUUGGCAAAACUGGAGAAUGUCGUUCCUAAGCUU
rfam:Cephalotus follicularis DNA, scaffold: scaffold1470, isolate: St1.